GUCGAGGAUCAUUCGCAAUGCGCGAAAGCGUGACGAUGCGACGCUGCGUGGAGGAUGAAGGCCUUCGGGUUGUAAACUCCUGUCGAGAGGGAAAAACCGUCCCGCUCACAACAUGGGCGGGGCCUGAUGGUACCUCUAAAGGAAGCCACGGCUAACUCUGUGCCAGCAGCCGCGGUAAUACAGAGGUGGCGAGCGUUGUUCGGAUUUACUGGGCGUAAAGGGUGCGUAGGUGGUUCCGCAAGUCGGGUGUGAAAGCCCACGGCUCAACCGUGGAAUGGCAUUCGAAACUGCGGGGCUAGAGUGCAGGAGGGGAGAGCGGAAUUCUUGGUGUAGCGGUGAAAUGCGUUGAUAUCAAGAAGAACACCGGUGGCGUAGGCGGCUCUCUGGAAUGCAACUGACACUGAGGCACGAAAGCCGGGGGAGCAAACAGGAUUAGAAACCCCAGUAGUCC
rnacentral:rRNA from 1 species